rnacentral:rRNA from 1 species
AGCUUCUAGCUUGCUAGAAUGCUGAUUAGUGGCGCACGGGUGAGUAACGCAUAGGUCAUGUGCCUCUUAGUUUGGGAUAGCCAUUGGAAACGAUGAUUAAUACCAGAUACUCCCUACGGGGGAAAGAUUUAUCGCUAAGAGAUCAGCCUAUGUCCUAUCAGCUUGUUGGUAAGGUAAUGGCUUACCAAGGCUAUGACGGGUAUCCGGCCUGAGAGGGUGAACGGACACACUGGAACUGAGACACGGUCCAGACUCCUACGGGAGGCAGCAGUAGGGAAUAUUGCUCAAUGGGGGAAACCCUGAAGCAGCAACGCCGCGUGGAGGAUGAAGGUUUUAGGAUUGUAAACUCCUUUUGUUAGAGAAGAUAAUGACGGUAUCUAACGAAUAAGCACCGGCUAACUCCGUGCCAGCAGCCGCGGUAAUACGGAGGGUGCAAGCGUUACUCGGAAUCACUGGGCGUAAAGAGCGCGUAGGCGGCAUAGUCAGUCAGGUGUGAAAUCCUAUGGCUUAA